rnacentral:rRNA from 1 species
CCUUGGUAGUCCACCCGUAACGUUGGAAAUUAGGUGUGGCGACAUUCCACGUUGUCGGUGCCGCAGCUAACGCAUUAAGUUCCCCGCCUGGGAGACGGCCGCAAGGCUAAAACUCAAAGGAAUUGACGGGGGCCGCACAACAGCGGAGCAUGUGGUUUAUUUACGCAACGCGAAGACCCUUACCAAGGCUUUGACAUAUACCGGAAAGCAUCAGAGAUGGUGCCCCCCUUGUGGUCGGUAUACAGGUGGUGCAUGGCUGUCGUCAGCUCGUGUCGUGAGAUGUUGGGUUAAGUCCCGCAACGAGCGCAACCCUUGUUCUGUGUUGCCAGCAUGCCCUUUCGGGGGUGAUGGGGACUCACAGGAGACUGCCGGGGUCAACUCGGAGGAAGGUGGGGACGACGUCAAGUCAUCAUGCCCCUUAUGUCUUGGGCUGCACACGUGCUACAAUGGCCGGUACAAUGAGCUGCGAUGCCGCGAGGCGGAGCGAAUCUCAAAAAGCCGGUCUCAGUUCGGAUUGGGGUCUGCAACUCGACCCCAUGAAGUCGGAGUUGCUAGUAAUCGCAGAUCAGCAUUGCUGCGGUGAAUACGUUCCCGGGCCUUGUACACACCGCCCGUCACGUCACGAAAGUCGGUAACACCCGAAGCCGGUGGCCCAACCCCUUGUGGGAGGGAGCUGUCGAAGGUGGGACUGGCGAUUGGGACGAAGUCG